CACCUUGUUGGUUGUUUGGGGGGGGGGGGUUUUUUUAGAGGUUAUUACACAGCUCAGGACGAACGCUGGCGGCGUGCCUAAUACAUGCAAGUCGAGCGGACAGAUGGGAGCUUGCUCCCUGAUGUUAGCGGCGGACGGGUGAGUAACACGUGGGUAACCUGCCUGUAAGACUGGGAUAACUCCGGGAAACCGGGGCUAAUACCGGAUGCUUGAUUGAACCGCAUGGUUCAAUUAUAAAAGGUGGCUUUUAGCUACCACUUACAGAUGGACCCGCGGCGCAUUAGCUAGUUGGUGAGGUAACGGCUCACCAAGGCGACGAUGCGUAGCCGACCUGAGAGGGUGAUCGGCCACACUGGGACUGAGACACGGCCCAGACUCCUACGGGAGGCAGCAGUAGGGAAUCUUCCGCAAUGGACGAAAGUCUGACGGAGCAACGCCGCGUGAGUGAUGAAGGUUUUCGGAUCGUAAAACUCUGUUGUUAGGGAAGAACAAGUACCGUUCGAAUAGGGCGGUACCUUGACGGUACCUAACCAGAAAGCCACGGCUAACUACGUGCCAGCAGCCGCGGUAAUACGUAGGUGGCAAGCGUUGUCCGGAAUUAUUGGGCGUAAAGCGCGCGCAGGCGGUUUCUUAAGUCUGAUGUGAAAGCCCCCGGCUCAACCGGGGAGGGUCAUUGGAAACUGGGGAACUUGAGUGCAGAAGAGGAGAGUGGAAUUCCACGUGUAGCGGUGAAAUGCGUAGAGAUGUGGAGGAACACCAGUGGCGAAGGCGACUCUCUGGUCUGUAACUGACGCUGAGGCGCGAAAGCGUGGGGAGCGAACAGGAUUAGAUACCCUGGUAGUCCACGCCGUAAACGAUGAGUGCUAAGUGUUAGAGGGUUUCCGCCCUUUAGUGCUGCAGCAAACGCAUAAGCACUCCGCCUGGAGACUCCGUUCG
rnacentral:rRNA from 1 species